AAGCGAUCGAGAAAUAUUUCCUCGACUUAAAAAAACAAAGUUGAAGUGAAGCAAGCUAUGAACUAGACAGUGUAUUCAGCUUUCUCUGCUGAAAUAAUGUGACCAAAUCAAGUGUUACCUGGAAAGAGGAAUGUCAAGGGUGCUUUUUACAUUAACUCCAAAAUAGCCAUUGGAAAGUUCAAGCCAGAUCUGCGACAGCAAACUGAACAUAAAGUGGCAUACUUGUGUGUCAGGAAACGAGG